CACCUUUGACAUGUACGGAAUUUGCCAGAGAUGGCUUAGUGCUCGAAAGAGAACCGUAACACAGGUGCUGCAUGGCUGUCGUCAGCUCGUGUCGUGAGAUGUUGGGUUAAGUCCCGCAACGAGCGCAACCCUUGUCAUUAGUUGCUACAUUUAGUUGGGCACUCUAAUGAGACUGCCGGUGACAAACCGGAGGAAGGUGGGGAUGACGUCAAGUCCUCAUGGCCCUUAUAGGUGGGCUA
rnacentral:rRNA from 1 species